GUAGGUGUCGGAGUUGCGGCCGCGAGAUGCAGGCGCGCAGCCUCCGUUGGGUGCUAAGACGAGCAGGGAGGCCGACGAUGGUGUGCCCCAGGUGCGCCGCAGAGGAUCCCCAUCGAGACGACGCGAAUUGAGGCGAUGACCGGCGGCUAGCUGCUGGCUGUUGCUGCUCCCGUGGCUAGCUUACUACUCCUGUCUGCCCCACGAGAGGGGUGCGACCGCGAGGUGCGGUGCGGUGCGAUGGGUGUGGAGAGGUUGCGUCCGACCAUGUGGUGUCGUGUGGUCGAUCCGACCAGGUGGGUGUGUAGAGAUGCGACCAGGUGAGGCGCGGUCCGACCAUGCGGGGCGACAAACGUAAAUUCGUCGUUUUUGCAAUAAAACCCCUUGUAUUCUCCCGCCCAGGCGUCUUCUGAUGAGCUGGCGGUCAAAACCCGCGUGGACUCUCUAGUCAACAGCCAAGUCAGCAGAUACAUAGAGGAAAUGGUAUUUUGGACCGUAGACGACCACCUGAGACAAGUUGUAGGACUGUAUUUUGGGUAUUUGCAAGUACGAGGAGAAAUGCGGCCAACGCGACAAGUAUGAGGACCUGUAGUGAAUUUUUCUCUUUUUGUUGGGACUAAAAGUGAAAACGAUAUUUGGGACCAAAACUUUUCAAAUAGCUCUGAAUAUGAAUUGGGACCUUGUGCAGUUUGGGGUGGAGCUGCAUGGAGUGAGAUGCGGACAACAAUAGGGCGAAGAAGCAUGCGAUCGAGGAGUGCAAGCAGCGGCGCUCCUUUGCAAUGGGUUGUGGCUGCAGGGGAGGGGAGGCAGCCAACGACGGGGAGAAUGAGCAGGUCGUUGAGGAGUGCAAGCAGCAGGAUUAAUUUAGGCCCAUACAGUUUCCGUUGAAUGGAAGUCUGAAACUGAAGAUAGGGCAUAUUGUUUUAGUUCUGAGUGGUUGGGGAUAUUGUGGAUUGAUUUCCCUAGAGCAGUCAGACCUCCAAGAUAGGUGCUAAAUUCCUAGGUGUCAAGGGCAUUGUUGUGGCGCGAUCCUUGUCUACUACGAUCGCUCGGCAUGGCGUCCAUAGCCCCUUUUGCUGCAUUCUUUGUUUUUCGGAAAAUAUGUUCUUGCUUGAGGGUGAAUAUGUUCAUGAUUCAUAAUCAUUGUAUUUGAUUCAUAAGAAAUAGUGAGAUGCUUUGUUAUGAGUUAUGAUAUAGGGUUUGUAAAAUUUGCAUGCAAUUUAUUGAUGGUUAGGAUUCGAGCUCAAUUUCAAUAACUUUAGAGCCUUUUUUUUAUCCUCUCGAAUUUUCUCAUCUAUUACAGUGAAUUACUGCAGAUCCAUUUUACAUCUACAGUCCAAGGAGGCAAAGUCUUGUGGCUUAAUAUCAUUUAAAACCUGUCUUUCAUUAAUAUGGUCAUUCCUUUGUCUUAAUCUUACCAUGGUUAACUCCCU